AUGGCUACAUUGAGACACCUGUUCUCGUUCGGUCACUGAAGUUAAGCAACGUUGAGCAAAGCCAGUAGCUAGAUGGGUGACCUCUUGGGAAU